GAGGAGAAAGAGAACUAGAGACAGAGAGAGGCAGACAAGGAAGGGGGGGGGGGGUGAAAGACUUUCUUUUUCUUUCUAGAGGAAUUCUGCCCAGACUCUGCAGCAGUUGGUAGCAGGCAAGCUUUCUCCUGGGUGUCGCCUUGAAAAGUUGCAAAAUUGCUCUUCACCUGUAAGAACAUGCUCUUUAUCUUCCAGUCUCUUCUUGUCAAUUUGGAAAUUGCAGACUGCCCGGCUCAGGCUUACCUGUGCGUAUAUUAGAAGUCUUCCCGGUGCCAGGAAUCAACAAAGAGUUGAGUAACGAAGAACUAAUUUAAUCAGCUAAUUUGGAGAAACUAAGUCUUACAACUAUUAUUUAGUUCAUCAAAACAAAUAAAUCUCAAUGAGAACAA
ensembl:lncRNA OTX2-AS1 OTX2 antisense RNA 1 (head to head)